UACGAAGGGGCUAGCGUUGCUCGGAAUCACUGGGCGUAAAGGGUGCGUAGGCGGGUCUUUUAAGUCAGGGGUGAAAUCCUGGAGCUCAACUCCAGAACUGCCUUUGAUACUGAAGAUCUUGAGUCCGGGAGAGGUGAGUGGAACUGCGAGUGUAGAGGUGAAAUUCGUAGAUAUUCGCAAGGACACCAGUGGCGAAGGCGGCUCACUGGCCCGGUACUGACGCUGAGGUGCGAAAGCGUGGGGAGCAAACAGGG
rnacentral:rRNA from 1 species